UACGUAGGGUGCGAGCGUUAAUCGGAAUUACUGGGCGUAAAGUGUGCGCAGGCGGCCGAGCAAGUCGAGUGUGAAAGCCCCGAGCUUAACUUGGGAACUGCGCUCGAAACUACUUGGCUAGAGUGUGGCAGAGGGAGGUGGAAUUCCACGUGUAGCGGUGAAAUGCGUAGAUAUGUGGAGGAACACCGAUGGCGAAGGCAGCCCCCUGGGUCAAGACUGACGCUCAUGCACGAAAGCGUGGGGAGCAAACAGG
rnacentral:rRNA from 1 species